UGGGGUUCUGUACUCUACCCUACACUUAUUGAACAUCAUCGCCGACAGCAUCUUCUAUACUCCUCUAAUUUACCACCUCUUCAGGGCGCUUUAAAAAGCAACAACAACAACAACGAUACAAAUCUCAACUCUCCAGUCUAAUCUGGGCAGAGUCCGGCCAAGUGUGAAGAAGAGAGGAUGAAGCGUCCAUCUUUACCGGUUCUCACAGACAAGUCCCUUCUUUGCCCUUCCUUCCCUUCUGGGAGCCCAGGUGCUUCCCUGAUGUGGCUAGCUCCCUAACCAGAACUCACGACUGACGGGCGCGGGCGCCAGUGGGAGGAGACACCGUGGAGAACAAAACCGAAAGCUACUGCGGGCAAUCGGCGCGAAGCCGGGAAGCGAGAGUGAGCUGGCUCCCCGGCCGAUCUGGGCGCAGGGCUCCGAGGAGGAGGAGGGAGAGGAUCGGGCAGAAAGCUCCUAAGAAGUUAAGGGCGGCGCAGAGUGGCCGGGAAUGCGCCCGGCGCGUGGAGCUGGAGCCCAUCCAGCCCUCCCGCAGCUGCGGCAGCCUAGCCCGACACUAUGCUUCUCCAGCUGAGCGCCGCUUUUGAUCUUCAUCAGGACGUGGUUCCUUGGCUGAAGGAGCGUUUGUCUGCGGAGGCGGCCGCUCCUGUGGCUGGCCCGAGGGCAGGCUUAGAUCCUGUUGAGAAUAAUUAUGAAACCCUACACGUAGUCAAUGUUGAAAGAAAUGGAAAAGUCAUUUACAGUUGUAAGGACAGUAAGAAAAAUGUCUUCUUUGGAUUAUAUGAUCUCCAAACUAAAAAAAAUGAGCAUCUGUAUACAUUUGAGAAAGAUUUGCAAGUUGUCAGUUGCUCUGUCAACCGUGAGAAAACACUACUUGCUGUCAGUUUUGUACAAUCAGCUAAGGAAAGAAGAAAUGAACUUCAACCAGCCUCUAAGUGUUUGACUUUGUUGGUUGAAAUUCAUCCAGUUAACAAUGUGAAGGUCCUGAAGGCUGUAGAUAGCUGCAUCUGGGUACAGUUUCUCUACCCAAUUGAUGAAAGAAAUCCUUUCCCAGAGAGCCAUCUGUUACUGAUCUCAGAAGAGAAAUAUAUUGAACAAUUUCAUAUCCAAGUCUUCAGGGAAGAUGAAAAUAGGGUGGUGAUUCGAAAUUCUGGUCGGCUCCCAGCAGACAGAAUUGUUGAGGACUUUAUUUGGGCCCAAUGGGAUAUGUCAGAACAGAGAUUAUACUAUUUCGUCCUGAAGAAAUCAGAAAGUAUCUUAAAAUGCAUCCAGUUUUAUGCUGAUGAGAAAUUUAACUUAAUAUUUGAAGUUCCCCUGGACAUUUCGUUUGGUGACACCAGAUUAACGCUUGUGAAUUUUGGGUAUGAAGACUCUCAAAACCGAAAAGUGUUAUCCAAAGAUCUGAAUCUACGUGUUUUUACAAGUCACACAGGAAGUUUGUGUGUAUGUUACAAUAAGAAAUCGGAUGUGCAGAAGCAAGUUUCAUAUUUAGUGUUUUACCUUCAUAAAGGGUAUAGCAAGACCUUCACUGUUGAUCUUGGAACACUGGAAUAUCAAUCAAUAAAGGAUAUUACUUUUCUUAAUCUAGACUGUUAUGUGGCUGUUUACCUGCCUGGACAUUUCUUUCAUCUUCUUAACACUCAGCAUCCUGAUUUGAUGUGCCACAGUCUGUUUAUUACAGGCAAGAAUGAAAAGAUGAACUUGCUUCCUGAUGCUCCAUUACAGUCACUCUCAGGGGCCUUGGCUUGGGACUGGUGCUCUGGAAAGCUCUUUAGAGUGAGCUUUAACCAAUCAUCUUUGUUACAUUUCCUAUGGAGCAGCCCUUUGGACUAUGAAAGGUUGGCUGUGUUGAAUUGCCUGCUGGCACAAGGCAGGAAUCCAAGAGUCUUAGAAGUCCAGAUUAUUCAAUGGAUUUUUGAGAACAUGAAGACCUGUUAUGCAUUUGAUCCUAUUCAGGAAUUUUUAAUUGCCUCCUUAUAUUGGAAAUUCUGUCUGGAUAUUAACAAUAUGGAUAAACUUCUUCCACAUUCCUCAUUACAUUCUUGGAAUAAAGAAAUUCCAGGAGUAACGAUGGUGACUGAAGAGAUCUUAUUACCUCUAAUGAAGAUACAAAGCUUUAAGGGCUACUGGGAAAAACUGAACUCCAAUUUGGAAUAUGUCAAAUAUGCUAAACCACACUUACAGUAUAGCAACAAUGUGGUUAGAAGAGAGUGGAGAAACUUAAUUUCAGAGGAGAAAAGGGGAAAAAGAAGAUCUACUGUAUAUUUCAGGAACAUUCUUGAGAAUGCUGUAAAGGUAGUUUCCAACCUAGAAGCAUGGACAGUAGAGUCACGAUUAGCUCCCCUCUUCCAGGAGGAAGAUAAUCAGCAAAGACUGCUCAUUGGAUUGAUGGUCUCUGAACUAAAAGAACAUCUCUUGAGAAAUCUACCUGUACAAUUCAUAGGAAAGAAGAAAAUUGAACAGUUAGUUCUCGACUAUGUUUCAAAAAUGCUGGACCUCCUUUGCCAGAUGCUGGAAACUAGCUGGAGGAAACACAGGCUUGAUUCCUGGGUUUUCCACUUGCUUCCAUACUGUGUACAUGGCCUUAGGGGUACGAUGUCUCCCCCUGCACUGCCUUCUGCGUUACAUUGAUGAUGGAGUGCUACUUCUUACAGAAACAGGGGUCAUGAAGCUCUUGAAAGGUAAGUGCAUUUGAUCCUGCUAGAGGGCUGGUUCCUGUCUCCAUAUAUCCCAUUUCUUGUAAGUAAUACUCUUUCUUAGCAACCAAGUUAAACUGCUUUGGCUCUUGAAGAGGCCCUAGAGGUUUCUCACUUCAUUCUUAGUGAUUUUUUCCCCCCUACAGUUAGAUUCCUUUACAGAACAUAGAGGCUCUUGAGGCUAGGAAGACUCAGCUUGUUGUCCAAGAAUGUGUCAUCAAAUGGCUGGCUCCCUCUCAGCUCUUUUAACAUUCCCAUUUCAAAAUCAGGCUGUUUCAUGUUAGGAAAGCAGGAGAGUUAUAUAUAGAUAUAUAUUUUUUUUUCUUGUUUGAAUUUCAUUUCAAAUAAGAUCAGCACAGGUUGUGCUAGAGAGUUUAUAUUAUAAAAUUAGUCUCAUAUUAAGUUGAAGUGUUGCUUAUCAGAGGGGGACAAUUGUUAGUAUAUUUCCAGCAUAUUUUAAUUCAGAAACUUGUGAGUAUAAACUUAUAACAAGAAGGAACCUUAGAGACCAUCUAGUCCAACCUCACAUUUUAUAGAGAAGGAAAUUGAGACCCAUAAAUGUGAAUUGUUUAUGAUAACACAGGUGGGAAGGAGCAGAUUCAAAAUUCAAAUCCAUGUCCUCUAACUGCAAAUCCAACAACCUUUCCAUUGUUCCUUGUGGUCCAGCAACUUUUUGGAUGAAAUGCUAUUGCCCCAAUUCCAUAAUUUGUGAAAUAUUUGAUUUAGAAUCAUGAAGACCUGACUUAAAAGUUUCAUUUCAGGCACUUAGGUCAAUUAGUCAGUAAGCAUUUAUGAAGUAUUGAUGUGCUAGACUUUUCCUGUAUGAUCCUGGACAAAUCAUUUAACCCCUCUGUUCUGUUUCUCUAUAAAACUGAGAAUUGGACUAGAUGCCCUUUAACAUCUGUCUUUUCUAGCCUUAUAUCUUUGCUCUUGGGAUCCUGAGAAAUUUGCUUUGACAUUGCUUUGUGGUUCUUUUCAGCUCUAGCUCUGUGAUUUGUGCACAUGUUGUCUUCAGGAUCAAUCAUUUUGGAUUAUAAUGGAUUCGUAUUUUCUGCAUGUUAUGUAGCUUUUUUUUUUUUUUUCUGAGAUAAUUGAAAACAGUUAAUUAAAAAGUCUGUUUCCCCAGAGAGUCACACAAGUGUGAUUUCCAAAGCUCUUAAUCUGUGGGGAAUCACAGUGAUGGUAUUAUGUGUUAUCUAAAGAACACUGUUAUAAUGUUUAUGAAUUUUUGAAUUUUAGAUACAAACUUUAGUAACACUCUAUAAUACUAAAAUGAACUGAUUUUAAUUGCUUUCUGUUUUGGGGGGAGUUGUUUUGUAGAUCUGGACAACACAGAGAAGAAUGAAAAACUAAAAUUCAGUAUAGUUGAACGUCUUCCUCCGUUUAUUCUGCAGAAGACAAGUCAAUUC